AACACUAUUGCCAAAAGUUUGCGGACACCUAUCUGUAAGAACGAGCAAGAGUUAUUGCUGGGAGGUUAUGAAAAAUUUGGAAGCCUUAUUAAAAUGCCAAGGAACACCUCUAGAAUCUGGAAAAACGAGGAGCAAGGACUGAGAGAGUUGCUGACAUAUGCGUUUGAAUGGGGAAAUUGCAUCAGACCACAAUGUUCGCUGAGUGAAUCCUGCUGGGUGUUGCCUCGGUCCCUCGGCCUUCUAAUGAGCUUUAUUUGAGCGUAUAAAGUAUCGCGUCGGCCCUUACAGUCGUGGUGUGGGUUUCCCUAUGGGCAAAUAUACAAGAGGCGAUAACACAGAGAAUGUAUGCGAUCGAAUGGGAAGGAACUUGUCAAUUUCGCAAGAUGACCACAAAAACACAGGACUUUGAAGGACUUCAUCAAGGAAAACCGUUAAGAAGAUAUUAGGUGCAAGAACUUGACUUAAACUUCUCAUUUAAAACAACUGUUUUAUGUGCAAAAAGUAGAUCAAGUAAAGUUCAAUAUCUUCAGUUUUU